rnacentral:rRNA from 1 species
AUGGGGUGCNGCNNGCGAGAAAACUUUGCAACGUGCGAAAGCACGACAAGGUUAAUCCGAGUGAUUCCUGCUAAAGGAAUCUUUUGUUAGUCAUAAUACCACUAAUGAAUAAGGGGUGGGCAAGUUCUGGUGUCAGCCGCCGCGGUAAAACCAGCACCUCAAGUGGUCAGGAUGAUUAUUGGGCCUAAAGCAUCCGUAGCCGGCUCUGUUAGUUUUCGGUUAAAUCUAUAUGCUCAACAUAUAGGCCGCCGGGAAUACUACAAAGCUAGGGAGUGGGAGAGGUAGACGGUACUCCGUAGGAAGGGGUAAAAUCCUUUGAUCUAUGGAUGACCACCUGUGGCGAAGGCGGUCUACCAGAACACGUUCGACGGUGAGGGAUGAAAGCUGGGGGAGCAAACCGGAUUAGAUACCCGGGUAGUCCCAGCUGUAAACUAUGCAAACUCAGUGAUGCAUUGGCUUGUGGCCAGUGCAGUGCCGCAGAGAAGUCGUUAAGUUUGCCGCCUGGGAAGUACGUACGCAAGUAUGAAACUUAAAGGAAUUGGCGGGGGAGCAC